rnacentral:lncRNA from 1 species
AAAGGUAACGCAGGCUGAAGCAAUUUUUACAAAUGAUAUGCAGCAGUUCAUAAAUCGCAUUUUCCUUUGCUGAUCUGUAGCCCAAGCAUGCAAAAAUCCUUCAUCGCAAACAUCUUUCCUUAUCUGUUGCUGAAGAAUCAGAGAAGAAGAAUAAUUGUCUGAAAAGAAUAAAAGAUUAUGAAACAGGAAUCUCUAUAGGUGGAGAAAAUUCUACUCUGAAUGACCUGAGGAGGAAAACAAAACAACAAACAACAAA